rnacentral:rRNA from 1 species
GUGAAAAAGAACCUGAAACCGUGUACGUACAAGCAGUGGGAGCCUCUUUUAUGGGGUGACUGCGUACCUUUUGUAUAAUGGGUCAGCGACUUAUAUUCUGUAGCAAGGUUAACCGAAUAGGGGAGCCGAAGGGAAACCGAGUCUUAACCGGGCGUUAAGUUGCAGGGUAUAGACCCGAAACCCGGUGAUCUAGCCAUGGGCAGGUUGAAGGUUGGGUAACACUAACUGGAGGACCGAACCGACUAAUGUUGAAAAAUUAGCGGAUGACUUGUGGCUGGGGGUGAAAGGCCAAUCAAACCGGGAGAUAGCUGGUUCUCCCCGAAAGCUAUUUAGGUAGCGCCUCGUGAAUUCAUCUCCGGGGGUAGAGCACUGUUUCGGCAAGGGGGUCAUCCCGACUUACCAACCCGAUGCAAACUGCGAAUACCGGAGAAUGUUAUCACGGGAGACACACGGCGGGUGCUAACGUCCGUCGUGAAGAGGGAAACAACCCAGACCGCCAGCUAAGGUCCCAAAGUCAUGGUUAAGUGGGAAACGAUGUGGGAAGGCCCAGACAGCCAGGAUGUUGGCUUAGAAGCAGCCAUCAUUUAAAGAAAGCGUAAUAGCUCACUGGUCGAGUCGGCCUGCGCGGAAGAUGUAACGGGGCUAAACCAUGCACCGAAGCUGCGGCAGCGACACUGUGUGUUGUUGGGUAGGGGAGCGUUCUGUAAGCCUGUGAAGGUGUGCUGUGAGGCAUGCUGGAGGUAUCAGAAGUGCGAAUGCUGACAUAAGUAACGAUAAAGCGGGUGAAAAGCCCGCUCGCCGGAAGACCAAGGGUUCCUGUCCAACGUUAAUCGGGGCAGGGUGAGUCGACCCCUAAGGCGAGGCCGAAAGGCGUAGUCGAUGGGAAACAGGUUAAUAUUCCUGUACUUGGUGUUACUGCGAAGGGGGGACGGAGAAGGCUAUGUUGGCCGGGCGACGGUUGUCCCGGUUUAAGCGUGUAGGCUGGUUUUCCAGGCAAAUCCGGAAAAUCAAGGCUGAGGCGUGAUGACGAGGCACUACGGUGCUGAAGCAACAAAUGCCCUGCUUCCAGGAAAAGCCUCUAAGCAUCAGGUAACAUCAAAUCGUACCCCAAACCGACACAGGUGGUCAGGUAGAGAAUACCAAGGCGCUUGAGAGAACUCGGGUGAAGGAACUAGGCAAAAUGGUGCCGUAACUUCGGGAGAAGGCACGCUGAUAUGUAGGUGAAGUCCCUCGCGGAUGGAGCUGAAAUCAGUCGAAGAUACCAGCUGGCUGCAACUGUUUAUUAAAAACACAGCACUGUGCAAACACGAAAGUGGACGUAUACGGUGUGACGCCUGCCCGGUGCCGGAAGGUUAAUUGAUGGGGUCAGCGCAAGCGAAGCUCUUGAUCGAAGCCCCGGUAAACGGCGGCCGUAACUAUAACGGUCCUAAGGUAGCGAAAUUCCUUGUCGGGUAAGUUCCGACCUGCACGAAUGGCGUAAUGAUGGCCAGGCUGUCUCCACCCGAGACUCAGUGAAAUUGAACUCGCUGUGAAGAUGCAGUGUACCCGCGGCAAGACGGAAAGACCCCGUGAACCUUUACUAUAGCUUGACACUGAACAUUGAGCCUUGAUGUGUAGGAUAGGUGGGAGGCUUUGAAGUGUGGACGCCAGUCUGCAUGGAGCCGACCUUGAAAUACCACCCUUUAAUGUUUGAUGUUCUAACGUGGACCCGUGAUCCGGGUUGCGGACAGUGUCUGGUGGGUAGUUUGACUGGGGCGGUCUCCUCCUAAAGAGUAACGGAGGAGCACGAAGGUUGGCUAAUCCUGGUCGGACAUCAGGAGGUUAGUGCAAUGGCAUAAGCCAGCUUGACUGCGAGCGUGACGGCGCGAGCAGGUGCGAAAGCAGGUCAUAGUGAUCCGGUGGUUCUGAAUGGAAGGGCCAUCGCUCAACGGAUAAAAGGUACUCCGGGGAUAACAGGCUGAUACCGCCCAAGAGUUCAUAUCGACGGCGGUGUUUGGCACCUCGAUGUCGGCUCAUCACAUCCUGGGGCUGAAGUAGGUCCCAAGGGUAUGGCUGUUCGCCAUUUAAAGUGGUACGCGAGCUGGGUUUAGAACGUCGUGAGACAGUUCGGUCCCUAUCUGCCGUGGGCGCUGGAGAACUGAGGGGGGCUGCUCCUAGUACGAGAGGACCGGAGUGGACGCAUCACUGGUGUUCGGGUUGUCAUGCCAAUGGCACUGCCCGGUAGCUAAAUGCGGAAGAGAUAAGUGCUGAAAGCAUCUAAGCACGAAACUUGCCCCGAGAUGAGUUCUCCCUGACCCUUUAAGGGUCCUGAAGGAACGUUGAAGACGACGACGUUGAUAGGCCGGGUGUGUAAGCGCAGCGAUGCGUUGAGCUAACCGGUACUAAUGAACCGUGAGGCUUAACCUUACAACGCCGAAGGUGUUU